UGCGUAGGCGGACUAAUAAGUCAGCGGUGAAAUCUUUCGGCUCAACCGGGAAACUGCCAUUGAUACUGUUAGUCUUGAGUUCGGUUGAGGUAGGCGGAAUGUGUAAUGUAGCGGUGAAAUGCUUAGAUAUUACACAGAACACCAAUUGCGUAGGCAGCUUACUAGACCGACACUGACGCUGAGGCACGAAAGCGUGGGGAGCGAACAGGAUUAGAUACCCUGGUAGUCC
rnacentral:rRNA from 1 species